UACGUAGGGUGCGAGCGUUGUCCGGAAUUAUUGGGCGUAAAGGGCUCGUAGGCGGUUUGUCGCGUCGGGAGUGAAAACACUGGGCUUAACUCAGUGCUUGCUUCCGAUACGGGCAGACUAGAGGUAUGCAGGGGAGAACGGAAUUCCUGGUGUAGCGGUGAAAUGCGCAGACAUCAGGAGGAACACCGGUGGCGAAGGCGGUUCUCUGGGCAUUACCUGACGCUGAGGAGCGAAAGUGUGGGGAGCGAACAGG
rnacentral:rRNA from 1 species